GUCUGAACAUCAGGUCAUGGACAGAGGACCAAAGAUGCGGCUCUUCAUCACAGCUCUACUGUGGUCGCUCCUGGUCAUUACUGCUUCAGGAUCCCAAGACAGAUAUGAACUGAGAAGUGACCCAGAUGCUGAGAACUACCAUAUAGACAUCAGCCUACCUGCAGAGCACAAGAGAGCUCAACCCCAUGUGGUAAGCUUCUGAAUAUAAAACACUGACCCAUAUGCUAACCGCUCAGAUAAACGUCUUCCAUUUUUGUUG